UACAGGGGGUGCAAGCGUUAAUCGGAAUUACUGGGCGUAAAGCGUGCGUAGACGGUUAUGUAAGUCGGGUGUGAAAGCCCCGGGCUCAACCUGGGAAUUGCAUUCGAGACUGCAUAGCUAGGGUGCGGAAGAGGGAAGCGGAAUUUCCGGUGUAGCGGUGAAAUGCGUAGAUAUCGGAAGGAACACCAGUGGCGAAAGCGGCUUCCUGGUCCAGCACCGACGUUCAGGCACGAAAGCGUGGGGAGCAAACAGG
rnacentral:rRNA from 1 species